rnacentral:rRNA from 1 species
AUGCAAGUCGAACGAACCCUUCGGGGUGAGUGGCGCACGGGUGCGUAACGCGUGGGAACCUACCAUCAGGUUCGGAAUAACAGUUAGAAAUGACUGCUAAUACCGGAUAAUGUCUUCGGACCAAAGAUUUAUCGCCUUUUGAUGGGCCCGCGUUAGAUUAGCUAGUUGGUAAGGUAAAAGCUUACCAAGGCGACGAUCUAUAGCUGGUCUGAGAGGAUGAUCAGCCACACUGGGACUGAGACACGGCCCAGACUCCUACGGGAGGCAGCAGUGGGGAAUAUUGGACAAUGGGCGAAAGCCUGAUCCAGCAAUGCCGCGUGAGUGAUGAAGGCCUUAGGGUUGUAAAGCUCUUUUACUAGGGAUGAUAAUGGACAGUACCUAGAGAAUAAGCUCCGGCUAACUCCGUGCCAGCAGCCGCGGUAAUACGGAGGGAGCUAGCGUUGUUCGGAAUUACUGGGCGUAAAGCGCGCGUAGGCGGCUUUUUAAGUCAGAGGUGAAAUCCCAGGG